CAAUAAGCGGAGGAAAAGAAACCAACAGGGAUUGCUCUAGUAACGGCGAGUGAAGCAGCAAUAGCUCAAAUUUGAAAUCUGGCGUCUUCGACGUCCGAGUUGUAAUUUGUAGAGGAUGCUUCUGAGUAACCACCGACCUAAGUUCCUUGGAACAGGACGUCAUAGAGGGUGAGAAUCCCGUAUGCGGUCGGAAAGGUGCUCUAUACGUAGCUCCUUCGACGAGUCGAGUUGUUUGGGAAUGCAGCUCUAAAUGGGAGGUAAAUUUCUUCUAAAGCUAAAUAUUGGCCAGAGACCGAUAGCGCACAAGUAGAGUGAUCGAAAGAUGAAAAGCACUUUGGAAAGAGAGUUAAAAAGCACGUGAAAUUGUUAAAAGGGAAGGGAUUGCAACCAGACUUGCUCGCGGUGUUCCGCCGGUCUUCUGACCGGUCUACUCGCCGCGUUGCAGGCCAGCAUCGUCUGGUGCCGCUGGAUAAGACUUGAGGAAUGUAGCUCCCUCGGGAGUGUUAUAGCCUCUUGUGAUGCAGCGAGCGCCGGGCGAGGUCCGCGCUUCGGCUAGGAUGCUGGCGUAAUGGUCGUAAUCCGCCCGUCUUGAAACACGGACCCAAGGAGAAAUCACUAGUUGCGGGCCCGCCCUGGCAGGGGUCGNACC
rnacentral:rRNA from 1 species